GACGAACGCUGGCGGCGUGCUUAACACAUGCAAGUCGAACGGAAAGGCCCUGCUUUUGGUGGGGUGCUCGAGUGGCGAACGGGUGAGUAACACGUGAGUAACCUGCCCUUGACUUUGGGAUAACUCCAGGAAAACUGGGGCUAAUACCGGAUAGGAGCUCCUGCUGCAUGGUGGGGGCUGGAAAGUUUCGGCGGUUGGGGAUGGACUCGCGGCUUAUCAGCUUGUUGGUGGGGUAGUGGCUUACCAAGGCUUUGACGGGUAGCCGGCCUGAGAGGGUGACCGGCCACAUUGGGACUGAGAUACGGCCCAGACUCCUACGGGAGGCAGCAGUGGGGAAUAUUGCACAAUGGGCGGAAGCCUGAUGCAGCAACGCCGCGUGCGGGAUGACGGCCUUCGGGUUGUAAACCGCUUUCGCCUGUGACGAAGCGUGAGUGACGGUAAUGGGUAAAGAAGCACCGGCUAACUACGUG
rnacentral:rRNA from 1 species